CUUGCUUUGGCAGAAAAAAAUACUAAAAUUGGAACAGUACAGAGAAGAUUAGCAUGGCUCCUGCGCAAGGAUGACACGCAAGAAGACUGGACAACAACACCAACCA